GUCGACCAAUGUCCACAUUUUUGCAUCAGUUUCGUUCGAACGUUGAACAAGUGCGAUACAAGAAGAGAAUAAGUAACUAUUUUUCAAUAAUUCCUCCAAGCCCUUUUUCUUUACACGUCGACCCGUAUUUCACUUUCAUAAAGAAUUUGACGAAAUGGGAAAUUUAGUUGGAAUCCAGCGAAAGGAGAACAGGAGGAAAAAAAGAAGGAAGCGGAAAAGGAAGAAAGGAAAAGGAAGGAAAGAGAAGAGAAAGAAAAAAAGGAGCGAAUGACAACAGCGCUGAACACUCUCCGGCAGGAGAUGCAAAUCCUGAAAUCUAUCCCGAAUGAAGGGAAAGAAAGAACGAUGGGGAUGAAUUGAUCCACCGAUAUCAGCCACGGUGCAAUCCUUUGGAGAAAUGACUCGGUCGGGCGUGUGUGAAAAUAGUAUUAAAAAUAAAGACGCGGCUGAGUUUUGCUGGGGUGUAAAAUAAUUAGAAAAGACAAAAGUAUAGCGGAACGCGUGAGCGGCGAAGCGUUAUUGCGUAAAUGUCACGAUCGCGAAGAUUUUACGAGAUUCUCGUUACGAAUCAUCUCGGGCAACGUCCAAUUAAAAAUAAUAUUUAAAUGAUAAAAAGUAGGAUUAAAAAAAGUAGAGAUUUGCAAUAAAAAAAGAAAAAACUGCGGACGAGCUCGUUCACGAGAACCUGCACUAUCAUAGAUUUUCCUGAUCUGGAAAGUAAAAAUUCUUCGGAGGCACAAAUAAGAUAAAUAAAUGAGAGAGAUAGAGACAGAGAUUGGCGGCGUAUCGACUGUUGCUUUAGCGAGAAGAUCGAAGAGAUGCGAGAGUCAUGCGUGCCAUAGUGAUCGGGGCGCGAUGAACGAACGCCGUGAUGCAUGAUUCAAGGCAUAGCGCGUCGUCGAGGAGGAGAGAAAGCGGCAGCGAGUUUUGUUAUUGGUUUUGCGCGCCGAGCAUAUAUGCCUCAUCGGGCUUCUACAGAGAUACAUACGGACACGCUGCUGACGCAUCGCGUGGUAAACACGCAACAUAUGCCUUUUGUUAGAACACGUGAAAAAUACAAAUUGUCCAACACAAUGCUCCCUUUCGAAUUUUAUUAUUUCUCGCAG